GGCUGCCUGGCAUUCCUCAACAAAAUGGAUGCCUGCCUCACUCACUGUUUCCAAGGCUUCAUUCCCAGCCUAAUAGGAUUCCCAGAGGAAGAAAACAGCCAGGCUUUGUCACUGUCAGGACUGAUGACAGCAGAUUCCAGCUCCAGUGACAUUUGAAGGGCUCCAGCAGCAGAUCUGAGUGACAGAUGGUGGGUGCCAAUGGGUGACCAUGGACUAGCUGAC
rnacentral:lncRNA from 11 species